rnacentral:rRNA from 1 species
UCGAAAGCCUGUCCCAGUUCGGACUGGAGUCUGNAACCCGACUCCACGAAGUUGGAUUCGCUAGUAAUCGCGCAUCAGCCAUGGCGCGGUGAAUACGUUCCCGGGCCUUGUACACACCGCCCGUCAAGCCAUGGGAGCCGGGGGCGCCUGAAGUCCGGGACCGCGAGGACCGGCCUAGGGCGAAACUGGUAACUGGGGCUAAGUCGUAACAAGGUAAC